rnacentral:rRNA from 1 species
GACGAACGCUGGCGGCGUGCUUAACACAUGCAAGUCGAACGACGUGGCGAACGGGUGAGUAACGUGUAAUCAACCUGCCCUUCAUAGGGGGACAACAGUUGGAACCGACUGCUAAUACCGCAUACUGAAUGAGGGGAUUGCGUCUGGUUAGCUAGUUGGAGGGGUAACGGGUCAACAAGGCGAUGAUCAGUGGCCGGUACUGGGAGAGAAACGGCAAACAUGGGACUGGGAAGCGGCCCAGACUCCUACAGGAGGCAGCCGUGGGAAAACUUCCGCAAUGGGCGAAAGUCUGACGGAGCAAAGCCGCGUGAGUGAUGACGGCCUUCAGGUUGUAAAGCUCUGUUAAUCGGGACGCGGUACCGGAAUAGAAAGCCACGGCUAACUACGUGCCAGCAGCCGCGGUAAUAC